AGCAGUUCUUGCAUGACCGGUGGCUCUCACCACACGUCGCUACCACACAGAUUAAAAGCGUGAAACUGCAUGGGGAAACACAAGAAGGCUUGUCUCUGCAGACAGGCAAAGUGCUGUUUGCCAGAUUUGUGGCACUCUGAGAGCUUGCUGUACACAUCUGCCCAGCAAAGUUAUCUGGUGGUGAGAAAUCCGAGGAUUCUGAGCAUUUUUUCAUGGAGAAACUUUGAAAGUCAAGCAAAUACUUUUAUCUUGACCUUUCUGCAAGGCUGCCCCACAUUCACUAGUUGUCAGCACAUGUUUGUCUGGAGUCAUUCGUCACUGCCAUCCGUCAUUCCUCUGCCAUUCCCAUCAGUCCCAUUAUCUGGGAUCAGGAGAGAGCUGAGGAUGUAGCCUGAAGGAUCAUUAAACCUCAGCUUCCAGGUACUGCAGGUAGUCCAGGUGGUCUGUUGUUAUUUAUAAUAAAGAAACAACACAGCAGAACUGCCUGGCAGUGGCCCAUGAGGCCCAGAGAAAGGACGGGCUGAGGGAUGUCAUCACUGAAGGACAGCUAAAAGUGGACUUUCUUCCUCCCACACUGUAAGCAGAGAGGAUUUAUUGAACAUCUGUUCAGUACAUGGCUGGGAAGAUUGAUUAAUUUAAUUGCUCACACUUUGCUUAAGUAACAUUUGAAUACUUAAUGUCAGGUUUGAAGGAUAUUACAACAUUUACUCGCACACCUUUUUAAAGAGGCAGAGUUUCUCAUUGCUUUUUGUGUCUUUCAAGGAAGUUGAAAUGCAUCCUGAAAUUUACUUUGCCCAGAGGUCUGGGAAAACUGGAGAAAGUGGGAAAAGCUCCUUUCUUCAUAAAUGCAGAAACUAUGGACAACUCAUGUAUAAAUGGAAAAACAGGACUUCAGUUGUUCAAGAAAACCAGAAUUGUUAUACAGAAGACAAUGAAUGAAUCCUUUUUUUCUGCCUGCUUGUAGAAUACGUGAGGUCUGCUGACCUCAAAUCACUCUCAGUUUGGGAAGCUGUGAAAAACUCUUCCUAAACUUCCCACUGAAGCUGUAGAAUGAUAUUGCAGAAUGAUACAGAGCUCUUUUGGCUACUGAUGGGACAUACUGCUGAUUUCAAGUCCAUGAAAUCUGGAGAGAAUUCAGGGCACACAGACUGGCUUCCCUUCAGCCAAGAUGAAAAAGCCUGAAUUCAAUUCUCCAGAUUGGAAGAUUAAGAGGUGCUUAGCUGCCCAGAUUGCAUCCCCACUUCCAUGCACAAAAUUGGCCCUUACUAUAUUUAUAUCAUUUUGAAACAGAGAGAAAUUAAUGCAGCCUCUAAAAUAUUGGCCAUUAGGGAUACAUUUGAAGACAAGUUCUAUAAAAUUUGGGAAAUUAACACAUUUGCAAAUAACUAUGACAUGUUAAUAACCAUAAAACAAACUCAGGAGAAGUUGUAUUCCUUCAGUGAGUAUUCUCACUUUGCCAUUCAUGUCCAGAUCAUAUGGGCACUAUUUUGGUACAAUCCAUAAAAAGCAGGAGCCCUUUUCCAUAGUGGGAAAGUCCAUAGCUGGGACAUGGUUGAUGUUAAUUUCAUAAAGUGGUGUCUUUUCACAAUGGCCUGUUCACUGUUAGGUUUCUGUGGCAUUUUUUUUCUUUCAGGGAAAUUUGAGCCCCUUUAUAGAUUACCAGCUUUCAAAGGAAAGCCAAAGCUUCCCUUUAGGUGUAAUUAAUAUGUUAUUAUUGCUUUUGGUAUGAAUAUGGGAGAUGUCCUGUGAUCUUAAUGGAAAUAGGGAGUUCUCUUAACUCUGUUUCAACCACUUGUAGCAGUUUUCUCCUCAGGGCCUUUGGCAGGCAGCAGUGACCACCACUAUCCACUCUGUUGGACUUUGCUCUGAUUAGAGAGCAGUGAAGAAUACAGAAAAAAACCCUGAAUUACUAAAAAAAUUGAUCAAAUAAGGUGGCAAUUAUUAGAAUAAUUCAGGUGGAGGUGAGGUCACCUCAGUCAGUCUCCAGCUCAAGCUGCUCUGUCAGUAUUUAUGGCUGUUCUUAUUUCAGCACUCUAAAGUUCUGAACCUGGUUCUAACUCUACAUUCACUGAUGCUGUGGGGACCUGGGUUCAUCUUCAUAGUGAGCACUUAAAUGUCUGUCCAAUCUGCCUGUGAAGGUUGCAUUCAAUUCUCUGUAACCUUAAAAGAGUUUUUAUUUGGUAUAGAUACAGCAAAGACAGACUUGUCUUCUCAUUCAGCUCUGAAAGCUUUCGUUUUGUUUGACAACAUUUUAUACUGAGCUUGGCUCACUCUCUCACAAGGAGAAAGUAUGCAAACUUUACAUAGAAGUGGGCAGAAAAUUUGGCUACAUUUGUUUGCUAUAGCAAACACCGACUCACAGAGAAGCAAACAUUGUACUGAUUUUGUUGAAACUUGAAGAAAACAUGUCUAGUGCCCAGUAUGGAAUUUUGGAUCAAAAUGACAAAGGAAAAUGCAAAAGCAACUGCAAUUUUAGACCAGAGUAUUUAUAUAGAUGCACAGAGUAUUUAUAUGGAUGUUGCCUAUUUUGAUUUUUCAUCUUGUUUUAUUGUAUACUCCCACCAUCUUCCUCUCAGCUCUAUGAAUUAGGCUUUAUCCAGGUGCAAUAUUUUUGAAAUUUCAAAUUUUUUGUGGCUUGGAACUAAAAAAAAAAACAACUCAUCAUUUCCAUCUGUACCACAUCUAGAUAUGAAACCUCAUCUUUCGUGGGCAGAAAUCCUGCUUCCAGAGAAGCAGCAUGUGGCUAUGCCCAUUUGAUGACCAUGUGCCAUCCCUGGAAUACUGGAGGAGACUGCUCAGAACAUUUUGUGCCACUCUGGAGUGAAUUCCACAGGCCAGGCCCUGCACUGACACAUUUCCAUCCAUCCCCUGCAAUGCAUGUGGCAGCAGUAUUCCAUCUGUUUCUAAUGAGGCAUAGCGGGGGAGGAAAUCUUAUGCAUAAACAUCUCCCACAUCACUUAUGAUUCCACUGAAGAACAUCUCUGCAACAGUAUUUGUUUGUGAGGAAGAUUUUUAGCUAUUUGUUUAUUUUAAUACCUGUGGAUGUCAAACAGAAGAGAUUAGCCAGUUCCUGAACCUGGAAAAUUCCUUGGCUGAAUUUUUUACUGUAUUUUGAGAGCCAAUUCCAGCACAAAUUCUUGUUGUAAAGGUCUUGUCUAUAUUCUCCAAAGAAUAGAUAAUAAUUUUGUAUGUACCUAUUCUAUUUUAGGGGUAAGGCAGUUGUAGCUAGAUUUAACUCUAAACAAAGAGCAAGCUGUUCUUUAUUUAACUCCAGUUAUAAACAAGUUAUAGCAAAACAUAAAUGGAGGGGAAACAAAAGAACAAAAACUACCACUUUGCAUAGGCAUUCUUUUAAAAUGUACAUUUCUUUGUAUGGAAGAGCACUGCAGUGUUUUUUUAGAGGCAAAUAGUUUGCUGUGAUGUGUAUGAAAUAGAAUUUUGAUAGACAGAAUAAGCUGCAAUCCAGUUCUAAACUAUAGAUUUUCAAGCAGAUUGAUGCAACAAAUUGUUAGCAAAUAGCAGUUUGCAAUUUGAUGCUAAUUAGACAUAAGGCAAAUAUGUGCCAUGACAAAUUAGCAGCAAACCAUACUGAAAAGGAUUAGCAAGAGCUGGCACAGAGACUGCUCGAUUUUGCAUACUUCCUUGUCUUAGUCUAGGAGGUCUGAGCCAGUUUUCCUUCUCUGUAAAUAAGAAACCAGAGCAGAGAUCACAGGCAUGCUAGAAUGCCUUUAAUUGCAUAUUUGAAAUGUUUUAACUCUCUCUUAAUCCCAUGGAGGCUUUUCUCCAUACCACCAGCUUUAUUAUCCUGGGAGAUGAUCAAGUACUUUAUCCAUUUAAUAUUAUAACUAAAUACAUUAUGAGGUAAGUAACUCACGGGGUUAUUUACUUUAGCAAGUCUAUUGUACUUAUAGAUUUAAGAAAAAGCCCCAUUCUUAUUCAAAACACCUUUGCUUAACUUCCUGCAAAUGUGUUUUUCAGCGGAUUUAAUUAUUCAUUUCAUUAAUAAAUUAAUUUUUGCUAGAGGAUUAUCACAUUUUUUUAUUGAUGUGCACAAUGCCAUUGUAGUAGUUAGUGUAGAUCAAACCCAUCACCAUAUCCAGAUGAGAUAAUGCAGUUGUGUUUUCAAGCCAAAGAGGAGCAGGAUGUAAUUUUUCAGCCAGUUCUUCAGACCUAAGCCUGAAUACCAACACAGCUGUAAGUAUGACUUCAGAACUAAAGCAAAAAGCGCUCUUGCAUCUUUGAAGGGUGACAUAAUUUCAUUAGGAUCAAGAAUCCUAAACAAAAACCACGGUAAAAAUACCUGUUUGUUAAAUUUAAACAGUUUAUUCUUUCUUCAUGUGGCUGUUUGUUUGUUUAGUAUUUAAAAUUAAGAGUUUACGAAGCAAGUCAUCACAUUCCCCAAGCUUUCUACUCAUAUUUGCUGGUGUGUGCUUCAGUUUGGAUAUGUAAAAUGACAUGUUUAUACUUCAAGGAAUCUUGGGUAGAUCAGAGGUUCUUAAAUACAGUUUCUCUUUCAAAUCUGACUUUCUAGGGCAUACAAGACAUUUAACUCACUAGACUGAUGGUUUUUGUCUAAAAUUAUAUGUAUAUAUUACAUUCCCAACAUUCCUAUGUCUAAAUAUGGAUCAAAAAAGAUUGUUAGAAAUAGUUCAAAGGUGCUAAAACAUUAUGUAGUUAGAUGUAAACACACAUUUCGGUUACCAAAAUAAAUGAAGUGGGAGAAUAAAAGGAAAUUAUGCACAAAAGACUGUUCUUUCAUAAGUCUUAGAGAGAAUUCCUCAGACAAUUUAAACCACCAUCAGUAACAAGUUUUGCUACAGCACUGUCUUACCACAUAAACAGUAUGAUAACACACUAUCAAGGAUUUACAAAAAGGUGAUGAAAAUAGUUGUGCUGUUUAGAAAGAAAAAAGCGAAAACUCCAGGCUUUCCCUGUAAUUUCUCAUAUUAUUCACAUGAAAGGCACUGUCCUGUGGAAGCUUCUGUGUGCACUGAGGCCUGGAAAAUGUGUUUCCAGUAUUGCCAGGCUGUCUCACUGGCUGUUUGCCUGCUCCCUUUUGCCAGAGUUUUUGCCCACUUGCCACACCACAGCAGAAAUUUGGGCAAUGAUCUUUAUGCCGGUGCAAAAUCUUAGAAAAGUGAAUUGAUUGCCCUCUGGGCAGAGAGCUUUAUUUCCUUUUUGCUGUUCCUGCACAGACUCGUGGUGAAUUCUUGGUGGGCAGUUAUUUGCCUGUAUUGAAAGAGUGCAGGAAGCCACCAGCAGGCAAACACAGACUGAAAAUUGUAACACUUAAAAGGGGUGUUGUUAAGAAUUUUAGGAUUAUAUGCAACGUAAAAAUGGUUGUAAUUUCCAAAGGGUAAUUUUUUUCUACUCAAGCCUUUUCACAUGGUAUCUUCCCUCAAAAAAGCAUCACAAUUUUUCUGCCUGUAAUGUUUCUCCCAAACACCCCCACUGCUCAGUUCAAUGACAGCUUUCCUGGCAGUGCCUAAGCAGAUUUUACAUUUUCCUGUAGAUGCAGUGUCAGCCCAGAUCCUGCCUGAGAGCUUUGCUCCUGGCUGCUGUGGCAGAUCUUUGUGCUGGAGGACAGAUGUUCUACACGGUGCAGGGGGUCUGGGUCAGGCAGCAGCACUUGGAGCAUGUUGGAUGUUGGGAAUCUCCUCUCAGGCACCUCCCAGUUCCAGGCCUUAGCACCAGCUAUCAUGGGAUUAAUAAGAUACAUUGUUCCCAGGAAAAUAUGUGCACUCAUGGAGAACCUUAUUGACAUUGCUGCAGAGAGGUGAGUUC